rfam:Stegodyphus mimosarum contig70856, whole genome shotgun sequence.
GCCUUCAUGGUGUAGUGGUGAGCACGCUGGGCACUUAUUCCAGAAGUCCGUGGUUCGAGUCCCGGCAAAGGCA